CCGUGGGGCCAGGCUGAUGCUGCGCAGGCCUGUCUGAGGUCUCCCGGCUUUUCAGGAAAGGGAAUCCUCUGGAGCCUGGCGUGGUCCCCUCAAACGCCUCCACUUACCAGCUAGAUUCCUACCGGGAGACCCUAAGAGCGCCGUCGGGGUGAGGAGGAGGUUGUCCUUGACCAAGCCAUCUGGGCAACCCCAGCCCCCCGCCCUGCUCCUGUUCCCGGGGGUGCCCCCCAGAAGAGCAGCAAGCGGGCAGAGGGAGAGGACUACCCUGAAGUCCCCGGGGGAAGGCAGCUCCACUGCCUGGUCCCCGCUGUGGGCGGGGGGUGAGCUAACCCUUCAGACAGGACUGUUUUGCUACUGCAGUGGGUUCCCCUGAGCUUCGGGAGAGGAGAGAGUUGACGGGUCUGCAGCUCUGGAGAGAAAGGACCGGCCCCGGUGGAGGCAGCCCUGGGCCACGGGCCACCAUCACUAUCUCUGGUCUACUUCUGAUGACUGGUUCUUUGUUACCUAUCAGGAAAUUGGGGAUAUGAUAAUCCCUGCUUUCUGUGAGAAUGGGGACAGGACAAGUCUAGCCCCAUCCUGGCACUUAGUAGUGCUUGACGCUCCCCCAGGGGCUCCCGGGUCCUCUUCAGCUGCACCCAACUCCACGCCACUGCUGUGCCACGGAACAGUUUCCCGUAAACACGUCCCCAAGCAGCACGUGCACGCAGAUAAUCCAAUUACAGGAACAAAUAGCAGUCCAGGGAGAGGACAGCCCUGUGCGGCCCAAGCAGGAGAAGAAAGGAAACAAGUUCAGCUGAGAUUGGGGGACAAGGGAGGCUGUUCACAGAAGCCCAGAAUGCCAGGGAAAGCCCCGCCACCUGACAUCAGCGCCUUGGAGGUGGGACCACAAGUCAUGUUCGCAGGGCACUUGGUUCUAGAUGAGCUAUUUGGCCAGAAGGAGAUGCUCGUGGUUGGGGCUGGGCUCCGGGGAGAUCAAUCAAGACGCAGUCAGCACAGGAAGCAUUUUCCCAAACGUGACCUGAUUUGCUCCCCUCUGGCUAAACCAAGACACGGAUGUGUCCGUCCUCACUGUAAAAAGGACGCAGUCUCCGCAGUCUCGGAGAGGCCGAGCCCCUCUCCCAAGUUAACGCGGGUCAAGAAUUCAACCAGCGGCCAGGCCAGAAUUCAGGCCCUGGCUCCGGAACGGAAUGGCAACCCCGUUUCAAAGGAAGGGAAGAUGAGAUACAACCAAGGGCAUGUUCUUGCUAAGGCUCUCCCUGCGCUUCUCCUUGAAGAGUCCAGAGGCAGGACAGGAUGCUGCCCUAGGGCUCGUGGCCAAGCGCAUAUUGUGGGGAAGUGACCUUGCUGCCUUUUCGUCCCGGGGCUCUACCUCCUCUUUCCUUGGGAGCUUUAUGAGGCCUCGGCCAGGGGCCUGGAGGGCAGAGUGGAUGGCAGGAGGGUGGGACUCUGCCCUCACCUUCUAGGAGCGCCUCAUGCCUCCUGUCAGCUGCCCUUCACCGCUCCCCACUUGAGCCUCUAAGGCAGAGACCACGUGGGUGAGUUGCCAUGGAAACUUCGGAGUUCUAGUCGAAAGCGGUGCCGGGUGAAAUCCGAGAUGGCUGGGGGAAGGGUGGGGGCUGGGAUACCUAGGUGGGGCAACUGCACCUGUUUGGCUAAUGUCCCCCUAGUUCACCUCUUCCCUCGAGAAACCAUCUGUUUCACAGGCCUCACUGCCCUUCUUGCCUGCAAGAGACCUGCCUCCCAUCAUCGUCAUAGUGCCCUCUAGCCCCACGCCUGUGCGUGAUCUCCGGCAGUAGCCCUACGGGCCGUGUCCUGAUUCCCCAGAGAAGGAGCGAUUAUCCCUGUUAUACAACAGAGGGGGUGAAAAACCAAGAGAGAUCAUUUUUGCCAUACGGGGGUCGGGACGUUACCGCAGGGAUUAUCUGGAAUAUAGGGUGUGUUUGGGAAGGGGGGGGGUGCCUCAGGGACAUGGUGCUCCAGAGAGGGGAACCUGGACCCCACCUCUCUUCUCCCCACCAAGCCUCAACAGCCAAGCAUUCAAGGCAGGCUGACAUAGGAAACAGGAAAGCUCCAAGUCUGACCUGGGGUUUGAGAGGUGGGUGUGCAUCGGGCUCAAUUAGAAUUUCCCGUAGCCACAGCCAGACCCUUGCUGUCCCCCUGCCCUUGCCUGACCUAGGCACUGUGCAUGGUCUUGUCUGCUGUCAUUCUUGCUGUUUCCCCCCCCCCGCCCCCCCCCCACACCAACUGAUAGCAGAAGAGAUA
ensembl:lncRNA